rnacentral:rRNA from 1 species
UACGGGGGGAGCAAGCGUUGUUCGGAUUUACUGGGCGUAAAGGGCGCGUAGGCGGUCACGACAAGUCAGUUGUGAAAUCUCCGGGCUUAACUCGGAACGGUCAACUGAUACUGUCGGACUAGAGUGCAGAAGGGGCAACUGGAAUUCUCGGUGUAGCGGUGAAAUGCGUAGAUAUCGAGAGGAACACCUGCGGCGAAGGCGGGUUGCUGGGCUGACACUGACGCUGAGGCGCGAAAGCGUGGGGAGCGAACAGG